rnacentral:lncRNA from 1 species
GAGAUCAUCCCAGGACCACUGAACAUUCAGAGGGCCGGAGGCAGAGGAAAAACUUCCCCUACUCAAGAAAAAGAAGCUAUUUUUGUCAAGUUAAAUGAGCCUGAACCUGCAGAGCUGAAUUGGCAGAUGAAUAUUGCUAAUUGGUGCAGUUUCUUCAGUGCAGGAAAGGGUUUCCAAUCAGACCGGCGAUUCAUUGGCCACAUUAAGAUGCUGUGCUGGGGCCUGGGCAAAGCCACGUAAGAUGUGGUUCCUGCUAUCAAGCUGACUAACAUCUAUCAGAAAGAACAGAUCACGACUCAGCCCACCUGCACCCAGGUGAAAUAAACAGCAUUGUUGCUCACACAUAGCCUGUUUGGUGGUCUCUUCACAUGGACGCGCAUGAAAUUUGGUGCUGUGACUCGGAUCCGGAGACCUCCCUUGGGAGAUAAAUCCCCUGUCCUCCUGCUCUUUGCUCUGUGCAAAAGAUCCACCUAUGACCUUGAGUCCUCAGACCCACCAGCCCAAGGAACAUCUCACCAAUUUUAAAUCAGCAAAAUGACAUGAAUGACUAAAAAAGCACGUGGAGCACAAGACUGAAGAAGAAUU